CAGGUGCUGCAUGGCUGUCGUCAGCUCGUGUUGUGAAAUGUUGGGUUAAGUCCCGCAACGAGCGCAACCCUUAUCCUUGUUUGCCAGCGAGUAAUGUCGGGAACUCCAGGGAGACUGCCGGUGAUAAACCGGAGGAAGGUGGGGACGACGUCAAGUCAUCAUGGCCCUUACGAGUAGGGCUACACACGUGCUACAAUGGCGCAUACAGAGGGCGGCCAACUUGCGAAAGUGAGCGAAUCCCAAAAAGUGCGUCGUAGUCCGGAUUGGAGUCUGCAACUCGACUCCAUGAAGUCGGAAUCGCUAGUAAUCGUGGAUCAGAAUGCCACGGUGAAUACGUUCCCGGGCCUUGUACACACCGCCCGUCACACCAUGGGAGUGGGCUGCAAAAGAA
rnacentral:rRNA from 1 species